UAAAUAGAUUACCGCAUUUAUAUGCGGUGAACCAUUCACCACCUUUAUUCAAUAUACCCUAACCCCCGUCCGAACCCUUUUCCUUUCUCCCUCACUGGCCCCGCCCGAGCUCUCUCUGUCUCUCAUAGUGUCUCUCUCACUCUCCUUCACUCCUCUCUGUCUCCCUCACUCCGACACAACGAGUCCGACGCCGACGCCGACGCCGACGCCGCCGUCGCUGCCGCCGUCGCCGCCG
rnacentral:lncRNA from 1 species